GGAGACAACAAAUUUAAGAGUUGUAAGGUUGAGUUGAACGCAAAAAAGAACACAGAUGAGAACAAAGAGUCUGGCACAGUUAAUUGAACACAACAAGAAAUGGAAACUGUUACUCCACUGAAGGAAUGUGGCACCAAUGAUAAAUGGAACAGAGCCAAUUUUCUGAGUUUAUUUGCACCAAGAUACUUGAGGCUAAGAAAGCACCAUAAGAGACAGACAUUGUAAAAUAUUUUCACCGUACUCCUGCACUUCUACAACAGAGGACUUGUGAC